UGAGGAAUAUUGGUCAAUGGGCGCAGGCCUGAACCAGCCAAGUAGCGUGAAGGAUGACUGCCCUAUGGGUUGUAAACUUCUUUUAUAUGGGAAUAAAGUUUUCCACGUGUGGAAUUUUGUAUGUACCAUAUGAAUAAGG
rnacentral:rRNA from 1 species